AAUAAAGAGCCAAAAGCUAAUGGCUGGACAGGUAGACUAAGGUGGGACCUUUAGAUUUGCGCAGGCUAGGAACUGGGAGAAAUGAAGACAGAGAAUGGCGAACACUCAGGGGAGAAGGAUAGAACGGAAGCACUGCAGGAGAGAAAGCCAACCAGCCAUGUAAGAAUUCAGAUGCACUGUGACCAGCUGCUCAGUCUCCUGCUGCCACGGGUUGCCCAUAGUGAUGGACUGGAUCCCAGAACUGGGAGUCAGAACAAACCUUUCUUUCCUUCGGUUUGUUUUGUCAGGCUUCUGGUCACAGCAACACAAAAGCUUCCUGCAUGAAGCUACCUGCUGAGCAGCUGAGCUUGCUUUCCUGAGGAGAACCUGACAAAGCAAUGGAGAUCCUGGCAAAGUUGGGGAUGAGUCUCCCUCCUUCCUUUAAAUCCAAGACCCUACAAUUAAAGAUUGAGUCUUGACCAGA